UACGUAGGGUGCGAGCGUUAAUCGGAAUUACUGGGCGUAAAGCGUGCGCAGGCGGUUCGUUAAGUCAGAUGUGAAAGCCCCGGGCUUAACCUGGGAACUGCAUUUGUGACUGCAUCGCUGGAGUGCGGCAGAGGGGGAUGGAAUUCCGGCGUGUAGCAGUGAAAUGCGUAGAUAUGCGGAGGAACACCGAUGGCGAAGGCAAUCCCCUGGGCCUGCACUGACGCUCAUGCACGAAAGCGUGGGGAGCAAACAGG
rnacentral:rRNA from 1 species